rnacentral:rRNA from 1 species
GACGAACGCUGGCGGCGUGCUUAACACAUGCAAGUCGAACGGAAAGGCCCUGCUUUUGUGGUGUGCUCGAGUGGCGAACGGGUGAGUAACCCGUGAGUAACCUGCCCUUUACUUUGGGAUAACGUCAGGAAACUGGGGCUAAUACCGGAUAGGAUCUCCUGCUGCAUGGUGGGGGUUGGAAAGUUUCGGCGGUUGGGGAUGGACUCGCGGCUUAUCAGCUUGUUGGUGGGGUAGUGGCUUACCAAGGCUUUGACGGGUAGCCGGCCUGAGAGGGUGAACGGGCACAAUGGGACUGAGAGAGGGCCCAGACUCCUACGGGAGGCAGCAGUGGGGAAUAUUGCACAAUGGGGGGAAGCCUGAGGCGGCAACGCCGCGUGCGGGAUGACGGGCUUCGGGUUGUAAACCGCUUUCGCCUGUGACGAAGCGUGAGUGACGGUAAUGGGUAAAGAAGCACCGGCUAACUACGUG